ACGGGGAGCACCACAACGAGGUGGAGCCUGCGGUUUAAUCGGACUCAACGCCGGGAAACUCACCAGAUAAGACAGCUGAAUGAUAGUCGGGCUGAAGACUCUACUUGACUAGCUGAGAGGAGGUGCAUGGCCGUCGUCAGUUCGUACUGUGAAGCAUCCUGUUAAGUCAGGCAACGAGCGAGACCCACGCCAACAGUUGCCAGCUCGUCCUCCGGGAUGGUGGGGACACUGUUGGGACCGCCUCUGCUAAAGAGGAGGAAGGAAUGGGCAACGGUAGGUCAGCAUGCCCCGAAUUAUCUGGGCUACACGCGGGCUACAAUGGGUGGGACAAUGGGUAUCGACACCGAAAGGUGAAGGCAAUCUCCUAAACCCAUCCGUAGUUCGGAUUGUGGGCUGCAACUCGCCCACAUGAAGCUGGAAUCUGUAGUAAUCGUGUCUCAAAAUGGCACGGUGAAUAUGUCCCUGCUCCUU
rnacentral:rRNA from 1 species